UAUCGAAUCUAACAUGGAAGAGGUAGAGAGACUGUGCUGGCCGAUCGCCGAUCGGCAUGUGCACGUCCCCUCGCCUUUUUCUGUCUACAUACACCUGUGCACCUAUUGUAGAUCCCCUCGAAAGAGAGGGAACUAUGUUUUCAUCACAUCACACACAAAGAAUGUCUAGAAUGUAAACAUGAUCAUAUAUACAACUUUCAGCAACGGAUCUCUUGGCUCUCGCAUCGAUGAAGAACGCAGCGAAUUGCGAUAAGUAAUGUGAAUUGCAGAUUUCCAGUGAAUCAUCGAAUCUUUGAACGCACCUUGCGCUCCUUGGUAUUCCGAGGAGCAUGCCUGUUUGAGUGUCAGUCAAUAUUCAUCAACCAUGUCUGGAUUCAUUUCCAGCCAUGGCUUGGACUUGGGAGUUGCCGGUCGUCAUGAUCGGCUCUCCUUAAAUGCAUUAGCAGAGGGGGUCGAGCUUUUUAGUCUUCUUUGGCGUGCACGGCUCUGGGCGUGAUAGUGAAUGGAUCGUCCUGGCUGGAGCGUCGAAGAAAUAUAGACUAUGCUUUUCCUGUCCUUGCUUCUAAUCUUAUGAUUGGUCAUCUGAUCAGACAAGACUUUUUAGCUUACUAGUCGAGACGAACGCGGUCAUCCAUGAUGGCUUAGCUAUUAGUGGAGACGAAAUGCUGAGAGUCUUUGAAGGGAAAGAUGGUUCGAGACUCUUAUUUGAAACUUG
rnacentral:misc_RNA from 1 species